CAUGCCGCGUGUGUGAAGAAGGCCUUAUGGUUGUAAAGCACUUUAUCGAGGAGGAGGCUACUUAGUUAAUACCUAGAGGAUAGUGGACGUUACUCGCAGAAUAAGCAGCCGGCUAACUCUGUGCCAGCAGCCGCGGUAAUACAGAGGGUGCAAGCGUUAAUCGGAUUUACUGGGCGUAAAGCGCGCGUAGGCGGCUAAUUAAGUCAAAUGUGAAAUCCCCGAGCUUAACUUGGGAAUUGCAUUCGAUACUGGUUAGCUAGAGUGUGGGAGAGGAUGGUAGAAUUCCAGGUGUAGCGGUGAAAUGCGUAGAGAUCUGGAGGAAUACCGAUGGCGAAGGCAGCCAUCUGGCCUAACACUGACGCUGAGGUGCGAAAGCAUGGGGAGCAAACAGGAUUAGAUACCCUGGUAGUCCAUGCCGUAAACGAUGUCUACUAGCCGUUGGG
rnacentral:rRNA from 1 species